GUGUCAGCAGCCGCGGUAAUACAGAGGUCCCAAGCGUUGUUCGGAUUCACUGGGCGUAAAGGGUGCGUAGGUGGUGGGGUAAGUUUGAGGUGAAAGCUCCGGGCUCAACCCGGAAAUGGCCUUGAAGACUAUCCUGCUCGAGGGUUGGAGGGGGGACUGGAAUUCUCGGUGUAGCAGUGAAAUGCGUAGAUAUCGAGAGGAACACCAGUGGCGAAGGCGAGUCCCUGGACAACACCUGACACUGAGGCACGAAAGCUAGGGGAGCAAACGGGAUUAGAUACCCCGGUAGUCC
rnacentral:rRNA from 1 species